rnacentral:rRNA from 1 species
UACGAAGGGGGCUAGCGUUGCUCGGAAUCACUGGGCGUAAAGCGCACGUAGGCGGGUCUUUAAGUCAGGGGUGAAAUCCUGGAGCUCAACUCCAGAACUGCCUUUGAUACCGAGGAUCUCGAGUCCGGGAGAGGUGAGUGGAACUCCGAGUGUAGAGGUGAAAUUCGUAGAUAUUCGGAAGAACACCAGUGGCGAAGGCGGCUCACUGGCCCGGUACUGACGCUGAGGUGCGAAAGCGUGGGGAGCAAACAGG